GAUGAACGCUAGCGGCAGGCUUAACACAUGCAAGUCGAGGGGUAUAGUUCUUCGGAACUAGAGACCGGCGCACGGGUGCGUAACGCGUAUGCAAUCUACCUUUCACAAAGGGAUAGCCCCAGAGAAAUUUGGAUUAAUACCUUAUAGUAAUACGACUUGGCAUCAAGAUGUAUUUAAAGAUUUAUCGGUGAAAGAUGAGCAUGCGUCCCAUUAGCUUGUUGGUAAGGUAACGGCUUACCAAGGCAACGAUGGGUAGGGGUCCUGAGAGGGAGAUCCCCCACACUGGUACUGAGACACGGACCAGACUCCUACGGGAGGCAGCAGUGAGGAAUAUUGGACAAUGGGCGCAAGCCUGAUCCAGCCAUGCCGCGUGCAGGAUGACGGUCCUAUGGAUUGUAAACUGCUUUUGUACAGGAAGAAACCCUUUCACGUGUGGAAGAUUGACGGUACUGUAAGAAUAAGGAUCGGCUAACUCCGUGCCAGCAGCCGCGGUAAAG
rnacentral:rRNA from 1 species